rnacentral:rRNA from 1 species
ACCUCNAAUCAGGUAGGACUACCCGCUGAACUUAAGCAUAUCAAUAAGCGGAGGAAAAGAAACCAACANNGAUUGCCCUAGUAACGGCGAGUGAAGCGGCAACAGCUCAAAUUUGAAAUCUGGCCCUCGGGUCCGAGUUGUAAUUUGUAGAGGAUGCUUUUGGCAAGGUGCCUUCCGAGUUCCCUGGAACGGGACGCCAUAGAGGGUGAGAGCCCCGUCUGGUCGGACACCGNGCCUCUGUAAAGCUCCUUCGNCGAGUCGAGUAGUUUGGGAAUGNUGCUCUAAAUGGGAGGUAUAUGUCUUNUAAAGNUAAAUAUUGGCCAGAGACCGAUAGCGCACAAGUAGAGUGAUCGAAAGAUGAAAAGCACUUNGAAAAGAGAGUUAAAAAGUACGUGAAAUUGUUGAAAGGGAAGCGAUUAUGACCAGACUUGGGCCUGUUUGAUCAACUUGGGUUNUCCCGGGUGCACUNUNUCAGGCCUAGGCCAGCAUCANUUNGUCGCGGGGGACAAAGGUUGCGGGAAUGUGGCUCCCCUCGGGGAGUGUUAUAGCCC